CUGCGCUGCGCACAAAAAAAAAUCCAACCUAAAUUGUAAAUAAAAUAAACACGUAACAAUUCAUUCUGUGCUAUUUUUCAGUGUGAGUCAGUGAGUGACCGGUGACUGGCUGCUGCAGCCAAUGAUGCGAUUCACAUACGUAUUUACCAUAGACUGUAUAUAAUGGUAUUUACGCAGCUAAUCAGUCAGGCGUCCUUAUGUGCAGCUACCUUUGUUCUCAAAGAUAUGAAUGAGUAGAUAGGACACGCCCCUUUGAGCUGCGGCUACAGCGAGGCUAAGCUAGUGGGGGAAAGUUUCAGUGCAUUCUGUUGAUGUAGACGGCGUGAAAACGGAAACAAGUAUGCCGGCUCACUGUGCUGCAUACAAUUACACACUGCGUCGUACGAUUGAGACAAGGAAACUUGGAAUGACUUUUCAUAGGUAAGAAUAGUUUUUGGCUCUUUUUUCAUUAUGAAAUCUUGUUGAGAGCUUCCAGUCUAUGAGAGCUAACUAGUUAGCCACUAGCAAAACACUAAGGCGAGCUAGCAGCUUGACAAGCAAAUACCAGACGAUUAAUAGUAGCUGUAGUAUAGUUGUACAAGCAGUAGUAGUAAUACUAAAAGUACAAGCAGCAGUAGUAGUAUAAACAGCUGUUGGAGUCAUAGAAGUAGUAUCAGCAUUUGUAAUAGUAUUACAAGUUGUAGUAGCAGUGCCAGUAUCAGCAGCAGUAGUUACUACUACUAGUAGUAGUCACAUUACUAUUACUACCACCAAUACUACCAAUAGUAGUUAUAAAGCCUAACUCAUGUAUAUCCAGAUUACCGUCUAUGUUCUUCCUCCAAACCCAUUUUAUGAUUGGGAUUACAGGCAGUUCUUUAGGACUGCUCUCAAAUAAUUGAAAUGUUGCUAAACAAGGUUAUACUUAUCAAAUUAAAUAGCUCUGGUCUCCAGUAUAUUGGCGAAUUUGGUUCUUUGUACUUAAUUUAUUAGCAUGAUUUCUUUUUAAUAUGUUGUGUACAGGCUUAAUUACUUCUCUGUCUACUUUUCUUACUCCAUGUAGGUUUCCCAGAGACUAUGGGUUAAGGAGGAAUUGGAAGUUUGUCGGCUUAGACCUGGUGUCAUUCCAUCAGUGUUAAACUUCCCGGCUCAUCUUGGAAGAGUAUGUGCCAGAAAGACCACGACCAAGCAGCCUUGAGAUCUUAGGCAGCGUCUCCCUGAGGUCCCUCUCUAUCUCCCCACACAUCCACCAACCACUGGAACACAUCUCCAAAGUUCUGCUGGGCCAGCUCAGCUUCCCCUCAGAAGAAGUGCCGCCACCUACCAGAUGAAGGAGCCUUUUGAGAGGCAGCUGGCAUCGUGAUUGGACUGUACUUUGGUCUGUUCCAAUCCAGCUUCAGCUCCAGAGACGGCAGGCGGGACGAGUCAACGGAGGCCGGGUGGACGAAGGCAUGCAGCUGAGUACAAUCCAGAAAACAACAGAGGAGGAGUGCAGUGGCCCAGGGCCAGAACAAGCAGAGUAGCAUCGUAUGUCUCUUAGAAAACAUCAUAGUAUAGCCUUUGGUAUGAAAAAACGCCAUCAUAUACAUCGUAUAUUGUACAAAUAACAAGUCAAAGGAAAGAGACAUACAUUGUAGAAUUGUAGUAAUUGUGGGCUGACUGAUUUACUGAUUAUCAGUAUUUUAUUUUUUACUGAUUUACGGAAAUAAAUACAUUUAAAAAUG